GUGCUUCAAUCUAAAACUUCACGGAUAUUUGGUGGUUGUUGACAUAUUUAUGAAUUCAUAUGAAAAGUUCUUUCUCCACAUCUUAUAUUUUGUUAUUGCCCAUUCCUACUUGGUAUGAUGCAUCGCAUUACUGUAUGCAUUGAUCACUUAAAUAUCUAAGACUAUUAACUUACUGUAUUUUUGUCAAUUGGUUUGAGUUUGCUAGGUUAUGUCAAAAACUAUAUUGCCUAUAUACUUUGUGGUUGAUAUCCUUAAGGUUGGAGCAAGGUUGGUGCAUGGUGUGGAGGAUUAUUGUACUGUAAUUUUUAGUUUGUUUGGAAAGAAUGGAAUAGAGGGACAUUUGAGAGGGUUAAACUGUUCCUUCAAGUGUUGGAUGCUUGUAGCAUUGGCUUUUAUUUUUCUUCUAUUGUCAAAUUUGUUAGUGGUGUUAUUCAGGAAAAGGAUACUUUUGUUUCAGUUACUUUUGAUAUUUCAUGAUUUUUAGGGUAGUCUGAAAAUUUGGCUGGCUUGGUCAGUGUGUGUGCAGGGUUUUAAUGUCGAAUUUGCCUCAAUAUAUAUAUAUUAAUUCUGGUUAAUUCUUUACUCUUUAAAUAGUGAGGUUUUUAUUAUUUAUUUCCUUUUCCCUGUAGUCCACUUUUGGCUUUCUAGGUGAUUGAAUCACUAAGUUUUGUUACCUAUAAAUAUGUGCGUAUACAUCAUUUACUGGUUGUGCCAUGAGAUUUAUUGAAGGUAAGGAAGUUUUAAGUUUAGGUUCUUAGAUGAGCUGAUUUUUCCCAUGUUAUAAUCAGUCUUUGCCUUCUUAUUAUAUGAAGAUCCACCAAUGUGCUCUAUCUCUCUACACCAUCAGACUAAUAGGCAAUGUGCAAGGUAUUAAAUCUUUCUUUAUGCGAGGAUCGUCAAUGAUGCUCUGUGGUAUGGAUCGGGUCUAGGUGUAUGUGUAGCCUUACCUAUGGAUUUUGCUGGAGUGCAAAGCCCCAAUGUUGGUGGGG